rnacentral:tRNA from 1 species
UUGGGCCGAUAGUAUAAGGUUACCUACUCUAUUAAAGUCGUGGUCGGUGGUUCGAGUCCACCCCGUUUGGA